rnacentral:rRNA from 1 species
CAUGCAAGUCGAACGGAAAGGCCCUUUCGGGGGUGCUCGAGUGGCGAACGGGUGAGUAACACGUGGGUGAUCUGCCCUGCACUUCGGGAUAAGCCUGGGAAACUGGGUCUAAUACCGGAUAGGACCGCACAUUUCAUGGUGUGUGGUGGAAAGCUUUUGCGGUGUGGGAUGGGCCCGCGGCCUAUCAGCUUGUUGGUGGGGUAAUGGCCUACCAAGGCGACGACGGGUAGCCGGCCUGAGAGGGUGUCCGGCCACACUGGGACUGAGAUACGGCCCAGACUCCUACGGGAGGCAGCAGUGGGGAAUAUUGCACAAUGGGCGCAAGCCUGAUGCAGCGACGCCGCGUGAGGGAUGACGGCCUUCGGGUUGUAAACCUCUUUCAGCAUCGACGAAGCGCAAGUGACGGUAGAUGCAGAAGAAGCACCGGCCAACUACGUGCCAGCAGCCGCGGUAAUACGUAGGGUGCGAGCGUUGUCCGGAAUUACUGGGCGUAAAGAGCUCGUAGGUGGUUUGUCGCGUUGUUCGUGAAAACUCACA